rnacentral:lncRNA from 1 species
AGAUAAGAUCAGCUUGAUUCCCAGACAAUACAAUCUCCCUGAAUUGGAGCAACCCUCCAGCAAGCUGGGAGGAAGGGAAGAGCUGGGGGAUUCUGGGGUCUGCAGGGUGUGAGUCGCUAAGAGAACUGUAUGUAGAGGCCCCAGGCCCCAGGCCAACAUGGAGAGCAUCCUGCCAGGCCUGGUGCUCGGUGCUCUGCGUGCUCCAUCGCACUGGACCACCCUCUGCAGCCCUGUGAGGACUCGGAGAGUGCCAGGGUGUGUGACCAGCGUGGAACUGAUUCCAUAAAUGCUAAGACUACACCUGGCACAAUGCUGGCUGCCUGGCAGGCACCCUGUAAAUUAAAGUGCUACCAGCCAGAACAACCUCAGCCUAUGAGCUAAGCAAGUCUGUACGCCUCCCAUACAAAUGAGAUCACUGAGGCCGAGAGGGGUUAAGCUGCUUGCUUGAAGCAGGAAAUAUCUGGUAAGUGAUAUCUAAUAAAUAGGGGUUUGGGGGGAGAGGGGUUGGGGUA